rnacentral:rRNA from 1 species
UACGUAGGGGGCGAGCGUUGUCCGGAUUUAUUGGGCGUAAAGAGCUCGUAGGCGGCUUAGCAAGUCGGGUGUGAAACUCCAGGCUCAACCUGGAGACGCCACUCGAGACUGCUAUGGGCUAGAGUCCGGUAGGGGACCACGGAAUUCCUGGUGUAGCGGUGAAAUGCGCAGAGUAUCAGGAGAACACCGGUGGCGAAGGCG